rnacentral:lncRNA from 1 species
AUGGUUGGUUCCUUGCAGCUGAGACCCGCGUGUGCACGAGCACUGACCCGGAUUUUCAACCUCUCGGACCAGGAUAACAACCAGAUCCUGAGCGAUGAUGAACUCAACUACUUCCAGGUAGGGCUGGCUGUGGGGCUGGGGCACAGCCCAGUCCCUGCAGCUGCUGGGGGAGCUGGGGGGUUGUGCUGUCUGCGUGCCUGCUCACGAAGGCCUUCUUCCUUUUGGGAGGUAGAAAUCCUGCUUUGGAAACCCGCUGGCUCCCCAGGCCCUGGAGGACGUGAAGAUGGUUGUGUGGAAGAACACCACAGAUGGGGUGCAGGACAACGGGCUGACGUUAAACGGCUUCCUCUUCCUCAACACUCUCUUCAUCCAGAGGGGCCGGCACGAAACCACCUGGACCAUCCUUCGCCGCUUUGGCUACGACGACGAGCUGGAGCUGACAGACGACUACCUGCACCCGCAGUGCGUGUCCUGUUGUGGAUGGAGGUGACGGGGUGGGAUGUCCCCAAAGGGGACGACCUGGGCUCCUCUCUGCGCCCUGGGGGCUGCUGCCUUGCUCAGCUGAGGCUGUGCCCUGAGCUCACGGUCAAACUCGUGCUCCUCACAUUCCCCUGUGGCCGGGAGCUGACACGAGGGGUUGGCAGCAAAUAUAACGGCCUUGGAGCUGUUGACUGUGCUGCUGGCGCUGGUGUAGGCGGGCAAGGAGGGGGGGAGGCAGUGAAGGCCUGUCCCUGACAUCCCUUGACAUCAGCAAGGGGCUGUGAAGGCUGUUCUGCCUCUGCCUGAGCUGUGAGCUGUCAGGAGCAGUGAGCUGUCAGCAGAGCCCUCCCGGCUGGUUCUGCAGCUGCUGUCUCUUCUCUGCUCCCUGCCACCCCAGAGGUGCUGAUCUGCCAGUAAUGAAAGGCUUUGGCUGCGAGCUGCCUUGGCCUCUCCCCAGAGAGCAGGCUCCAGGGGCAGACAGCAGGGCCCCUGCUGGUGGAAAGCACUGGGGCUAACGCUGGGCCCUGAGCACGAGGCAGAGCGAGGGCCGUGGCAGCUCCUGGGCUGCUUGGGCAGCGUGGAUAUGCCACGGGGAGUCUGCUCCACAGCGUUGAGGCCCUCUCCUGCAGCUUUGUUUGGUUCUGUUGGGGUUUUGUUGGGCAGGGAGGGGCUGGCGAGCCACGUGCCCUGGGCGAGAUGUGGCUUUGCCAAGGGUCCCUUCACGCUGCCCUUGGUUGGGGGCUGGAGGAGGCGUUGGAGCUGCUCACUGGGGUCUCUCCCGGCAGGUUCCGCCUGCCCCCCGGCUGCUCCUCGGAGCUCAACCACCUGGGCUACCAGUUCCUGCAGCGGCUGUUUGAGAAGCACGACAAGGUGGGCACCACGGUGGGGCCGUGCGGGAGCCUGGCUGCUCUCCGCCUGCCCCUGCUCCCCUUCCAGUGAAGGGCUUUCCUCUGUCACAGGGGCAUGGGACCGGGGUCACCACCUUUGCCAAAGGUGCAGACAGUAAAUUGUGAGCCUUUGGGCUCUGAGCUAUCAUCCAAGUGGCAUCACCCCUCCACAACGACUGCCUGCAGCACGCAGGGGGCUGGGGAAAGUGGGCAGAGCUGCUGGCCUGCAGCCACGCAGCUGGCACCCCUGUGGGAGGAGAACUGGGCCAGAGAGAGGCAGAGAAAGCAGCUGGUUGUGCCAUGAGCUGGCUCUGGAGAGGGAGAGGAAGGCUGUAGAGGAUCUGCAGUGCAUCUGGACGUGCUAAUUAGUUAGGUGUUGGCCUGCACCUGGGUUGUGGCAGCUCGAUGGGAGCUGCAGCACUGAGUUGACAGCUCUGCUAUGGAGCUGGGGGAGUUCAGCCUGGAGAUGAGAAGG